UGAUCUGACGAUCCAUAAGCGUUCUCUCCGUUCUCACACUUUUGUGCGUUUUCUCUAAAUCCUGACCGUAUAUAUAUAUAGUGGAGGUCCGAACUGACUGAUGUUGAAGAAUCAGCGGAUGAGUUGUGGUUAGGGGUGAAAUGUCACUCGAACCCAGAGCUAGUUGGUUCUCCCCGAAAUGCGUUGAGGCGCAUCAGUUGACUGGACAUCUAGGGGUAAAGCACUGUUUCGGCGCGGGCCACGCUAGCGGUACCAAAUCGAGGCAAACUCUGAAUACUAGAUAUACAUCAAAAUAAGAGGGGUCAAGGUCGGUCAGUGAGAUGAUGGGGGAUAAGCUUCAUCAUCGAGAGGGAAAUAGCCCGGAUCACCAGCUAAGGCCCCUAAAGCUUCAUCGUCGGUGGAGACUUACUAAGAGUUCACCCAUCUUGAUGGUAGAGUGCAUGCCUAACUAUGAAGCUAUCAUAUUUUCCAUUACCAUUGCGCUCAAAAUUAACGCGUUGGUAAUAUA
rnacentral:lncRNA from 1 species